GAUGCCCAUUUAACAUUGCAUAGUUUUUUCCCUCCUUCCUCCUAAGAACCAAAGAAAGAAUAUAUGAUAUGUUUCUCAAUUUUGGUAGCGACAGUGGAAGUGAUAGGAAAUAGAGAAAGGUUGCAGAUAGGGAGAUUAUUUAUAAUUGAUUUAAGCAAGCACACUCUCUCACCAAUAGAUAAGUGCCAACUUGCUAUUGAUUCUAUUAACAAUAGUUUUCCACAUGAGAUGAAGAUGCACAAAUAGGCAGGCCCAAAUACUUAAAUGGCAUCCCCUCCAUCCUACAUAUUAGAUUGCUAGCAGUUGAAGAAGAAACAAUAGUUCUAGUGAUUGAGCUCUUGCGGAAAUUAACCUUCAGCCUAGAAAUCAACUCAAAACAUUACAUAGUUCUUUUGAUGUUUUGAAGAGAUGGAAAAUCAUAUGAACUGAAGAUGAGUGUAUCAUCUACAAACUGAAAGUGACCAAAACAAAUACCUUUUAUAAGUCCCAAAUCACAUCUCUUUUUAGCAUUCUACUAAGACCCUCAGUUGCUAUAUUGAAAAGAGAUGUUGACAAAGAGUCCCCUCUUCGCAAUCCCUUUCCCAUAAAGAACUCUUUAGUUGGAGAGCCAUUCACAAGAAUUGAAAGUUUUGUUGUCGAAAUACAUUAUUGUAUCCAUCAUCUCCAUCGUGAACCAAAACCCACACAAGCCAUAACUGUUGAAAUACCUGGGCAGUAAUUGUUGUGCGUGGUCUAGGAUCGUGUGCGAUACCACUGAAAGGCCAGUGACCCAACUCUCUCUUGGGGGUGCUGGGGAUUGGGGGUUAGGCGAGUGGGUUCUCAACGCAUCUUUGUUUCUGCCUUUUAAAGAAUUGCAAAGUCUUGAUUUGAAGGCUAAUGAAUUAGCUGGGUGCCUCUGAGAAUCAAGCAGGCUUCGGAGUGUUGAAGCCUUGUAUUAAAUUCGCUGGUUCUCCAACUUCAGAGGAUCUUAGCAUGGGAGCACUGAAUUUGUUGUGGUUGCUGGUGGGGGAAUCAGUGGUUUGCUUCUUGCAUUCUUGGCCCAAAAUUGUGUUAGUUCGAAACUUGUCGGCAAUUUUCUUGAUUGUGUCCAGCUAAUGGGUGCUUUUUAGUGUGUUGACCUCAUAGCUUAGCCUUAUUGUUGAUCGUUUCAAUAGAGAAGUGUUGUAACUAUAUUUAUCUUUGGAAUCCUAAAUCAGUCUUGUUUAAUUA